UGGCGACGGGUGAGUAUACAUCGGAACGUGUCCUGGAGUGGGGGAUAGCCCGGCGAAAGCCGGAUUAAUACCGCAUACGCUCUACGGAGGAAAGGGGGGGAUCUUUCGGGACCUCUCGCUCAAGGGGCGGCCGAUGGCAGAUUAGCUAGUUGGUGGGGUAAAGGCCUACCAAGGCGACGAUCUGUAGCUGGUCUGAGAGGACGACCAGCCACACUGGGACUGAGACACGGCCCAGACUCCUACGGGAGGCAGCAGUGGGGAAUUUUGGACAAUGGGCGCAAGCCUGAUCCAGCAAUGCCGCGUGUGUGAAGAAGGCCUUCGGGUUGUAAAGCACUUUUGUCCGGAAAGAAAUCCCUUGCCCUAAUACGGCGGGGGGAUGACGGUACCGGAAGAAUAAGCACCGGCUAACUACGUGCCAGCAGCCGCGGUAAUACGUAGGGUGCAAGCGUUAAUCGGAAUUACUGGGCGUAAAGCGUGCGCAGGCGGUUCGCUAAGACAGAUGUGAAAUCCCCGGGCUUAACCUGGGAACUGCAUUUGUGACUGGCGGGCUAGAGUAUGGCAGAGGGGGGUAGAAUUCCACGUGUAGCAGUGAAAUGCGUAGAGAUGUGGAGGAAUACCGAUGGCGAAGGCAGCCCCCUGGGCCAAUACUGACGCUCAUGCACGAAAGCGUGNGGAGCAAACAGGAUUAGAUACCCUGGUAGUCCACGCCCUAAACGAUGUCAACUAGUUGUCGGGUCUUCAUUGACU
rnacentral:rRNA from 1 species